rnacentral:rRNA from 1 species
GAUGAACGCUGGCGGCGUGCCUAAUACAUGCAAGUCGAGCGCAGAGGGGAGGUACUUGUACCUAUUGGGUUAGCGGCGGACGGGUGAGUAACGCGUGGAGAAUCUGCCUUUAAGCGUGGGACAACAUCUGGAAACGAAUGCUAAUACCGCAUAAUAUCUUUAAACACACGUUUUAAUAUUGAAAGACGCAAUUGCAUUCCCCAAUAAAGAUACCGCGUGGCCUUAGCCAAUUGGUAAGGGAAAGGCUCACCAAGGCGAUCGUACGUAGCCGCCCUGAGAGGGUGAUCGCCCAAACUGGAACUGGGCAACGGUCCAGACUCCUACGGGAGGCACCAUUGGGGAAUUUUCGGCAAUGGGCGAAGGCCUGCCGGAGUAACGCCGCGUGGGUGAGGAAGGUCUUCGGUUCGAAAAACCCGUUUAUAGGGGAGGACCAUGUUUGUAGUGGAAUGCUCACGACUUGACGGUAACUACUCAGAAAGCCACGGCUAACUACGUG